UACGGACACAUCACGGUGAAAGACCGGUUCCUGUACGAUCACUGAAGUUAAGCAACGUCGAGCCUAGUCAGUACCUAGAUGGAUAACCUAUUAGAAAGACUAGUUGCUGUAAG